UGACAUGUCAAAAAUGUGUAUGUUGGGUUGCGGAGUGUAAAUGUGCAGGUUAUAUUUAGUUAUGUUUACCCCACUUUCACUCGUCGCAAGAUAUCAAAUAUUCACGAUUAAUGCGCCGAAAACGAGCGAUAAGACGUCGUCGGCAUGAAUCUCCAGUCGCUUUUUCGUGACUUUAACCCUAGUAAGUUCAUUGUACACACCUGCUUGUUGAUUUUCACCGCAUUAUUCGCGCUGCGUCUCGACGAUCACCUACAAUGGUCAUACUGGUGCGUGUUUGCACCAAUUUGGGUGUGGAAAUCAUUCGUGGUGCUUGGAGCAACAGUUGGGAGCUAUGUCUGGUGGAGAUAUCCACAUUUCAGAUUGGAAGGUGAAGCAUACAUACACUACAAAUCAAUGCUGAUAUCAUUGGCUCUGCAUCUGAUUCUCCUCAUGUUUGAGUUGUUGGUGUGUGACAAGCUGGAAUCGGGCAGACAUUUGUGGAUUUUGGUGUUUAUUCCGCUGAUUUUCAUCUCGAUUGUUAGCAUUGCAGUGUGUAUCUGGGCUGUAAAGCAUGACAGAUCAUUUGAGUUGGAGUUGUUUUGUGCUGUCAAUGUGCUGCAGUUCAUAUUCCUAGCUUUAAGACUCGACGGGUUCAUCUCGUGGUCGUGGGAGGUGGUGUUCGUGCCGUUGUGGAUCGUCAUGUGCCUUUCGUUAGUCGGCGUUUUGUAUACAAUCAUUUUUGCGGGUAUUUUACUGCGUACGCCCGAAGUUACAGCGCAGCAGCGUCGCGCUAGCUUUCAAUCAGCACUGGGGUAUACUUUUUUGGUUAUUCCUAUACUGAUUUUUCAAGUGCUGCUGGCGAAUAAACUCGACGAAGAAAUCAAAAUGGCGUUCAUCGUGGUUGUCAGUCCGCUGUUCGUCUCCUUCGUAACGCUAAUCCUGAUGUCGUUCAGUGCCAAAGGCGGAAAUAAAUGGUGGUUCGGCAUGCGUAAAGAUUUCUGCUCGUUUGUGCUCGGCGCAUGCCCGCUGCUGCAGGAGUACGCCAACAUUGCGUACAAUACGGACAGGCGACGCGCGUCCGCCGGCGUCGAGCUGCAGUCCGCCGACAAGCAGGAUAUGCGCAUCAAAAAGGCGGACAUGCUCAAACCGGUCCUGCUGAUCGUCUCAAUCGAAAUGCCCGACUGAUGCCGGGCGCGACUUAAAUGUAAACAUGAUCUCUCAGUGUCGAAGUUUGUUUCCACACUGCCUCUCCGAAUCCGAUAAAUAUCAAUUUGUAUGAUGGCGAUCUACGGCCUACGUAUCCAAAACCAGCUGAAAUGGUGGCGCUGGCGUAUUCAAAAUGCAUACGUUCAACCCGUGGUGCACUUGUUUCAAAAAACGCCAAACAACACGCUGGCCAUUUUUAAUUUUCAUCCGCAACAUGUGCAUCAAACCGCAUUAAUUCCAGCCGGGAGUGAGCGGUAUGUGAGUUUGUUGAUUCGACGGCUCUCGGAGGAAAUUCCUGCUGCGCUGCGGAAAUGUAAGUCACA